CUAGGCCGAUGGGCUUCGAUCCCAUAAAACUUUAAUUAACAACUAAAAACCCAAGCCAGCGGGCUUCAACCUA
rnacentral:tRNA from 1 species